AGAGGUUUUAAUUCUAAGUGGUGUGGGUGGGUGUCUCAGAUUCUUCACGAUGGCACGGCUAGUUUCAAUAUCAAUGAUGAACUUGGGCCCUAUAUUAAAAGUGCCAAAGGGGUGCGUCAGGGUGACCCUCAUUCCCCUUUUCUGUUCAACAUGGCUGCUGAGUGUUUGACCAAGAUGGUCCUGGCUACCCAAAAAAGUAAAUUUUUCGAGGGGCUAGCGCCUGAUCUUAUUGAGGGGGGAGUGGGGAUAUUGCAGUAUGCAGACGAUACAGUAAUAUGCUUCUCCCAUGAUGUGGACAAGGCAGUGAAUGUUAAGCAGCUACUCUAUUUGUUUGAAUUGAUGUCUAGGCUAAAAAUUAACUUUGACAAAAGUGAGGGUUUUUCGAUUGGCGGGGAGAACAAUAUAGACCAAAUUUAUGCUGGGAUGUUUGGGUGCCAGAUUGGCAAGUUCCCUAUGAGAUAUUUGGGGGUCCCAGUGACGUAUGCUGUAAUGCCCUAG
rnacentral:rRNA from 1 species